UCUAAAAGGGUCCUAUUUUAUACGUCUUCCAUCAUAUCCUCCAACAAAAUUUCAAGGAGAUUUUUGGGAUAUGGUACCCAUAAAAUCUCAGAAUUUGAUACAUCUCUUUUUGAUUCGAUAAUGUUAUGGUCAAAAAAUUCUGUGAGUUGACUUCGAAAAUUGGGUUCAUUACUGCAAAGGAAUUCAGCGCUACAUUUUUGAAAGAAAGAACGAUAUUCAAUACCGACUUUUUCACCUUGGCGGGCAUCAAAAUCUUGAGUAUCCAUCAUGCGUUCGAGUUGGUGAAUUAGAAGGAACUUAAAUAUACCGCGAGAAUUGGCGGGCAAAGAAUAGAGAACGUGCUUUAUAGCUUUCUCUUUAUUAGACACAUUCGCUCUUCCGAUACCUAAAGAAUUUUCAUAUGUAGUCUCAUUAUAAUACCGUGCAAAGGUAGUCGCAUCGUGCAUGACAAAAUUAAACGAAGACUCUAGAGAUGUAUCCCAUAAAAGUGCAAAAUUUACAUGAUCCACAGAAGCAAUGAAAUACACAUUUUUUGAAGAAGCUAUGGCCGCCAAAGCAGAUUGAAAUCGUUCGUCAAUUAGACUUUCACCAUCGAUAUUAUGAACCAGAAACACGAUUUUUCCUAACGAAAAAGAGGGAGAAUUGAUAAUACUCAAAGAUUGAAUUAACAUAUCAGAUACAGACGCAGCAGGUGUGACCUCUAAAAAUUCAAGAAAGGAUGAAAGAACAUUUUUUAACUGUAACUGAGGGAAGUAGCCUUUUACGACAAAAAUGGGGAAACAAGGAAGUUUUUUUUCAACAAAAGAAGAUAGAAAAUGCUCUUUAGAACCAAACCCGUAAAACAGUAAAUUAAAAUUAUUCACAAGUUCAAAAUACCAUUGAUGAAAAUUACGAGACUGAAAAUGAACUAGAGUUUGAGUGUGCUGCUCGGUUUCAGUACAGAUUUCCUUUACAGUAUCUAGGUAUACUUGAUUAUCCAAAACAGGCAACUGAGAUAAAGUGUUGCUCGAAGUUUUUCGCUGAGAAAAUUUAUCAAAGUAUUCAUCAAACCCCGUGCCAUGACUCCUCGCUUCAAAGCCGUUUGAUUGAGAUAAGCCGGCUUCUCUACUUUCAGAAAACUCAUGGCUUUCAAGAGAUGGCGAGGCAGGUGUGGAAGAACGACUUCUGUUAUCUUCUUUUCCUAGCUUCUCCACGGAAAUACCUUGGGGAGAUUGAUUAAUUCCUUCCAUGCUUUCAUCCUCAAGCAUCACAGAUGGUGAAAGAGGUUCGGCCUCUAAAGAAUAGAGCGGAACAUCAAGUAGUGAAUUCGAACCAACAUUAUCAUCAAAUUCUCCCAAUAAAUGCCUUUCAAUCUCAAUUCUACCUCGCCGCCUUUUAGCUGAACGGUCUUUGGUAUAUGCACCCUUAGCUUUUAUAAUUCGAUGUCCUGGUGUUCGAGGAGUAACAACUUCUGGUGUUAAUGUAGAAGGAUCUUCAAGAACUCCUUUUUUAGGCGUUGAAGAUACGUUUUCAACCAUUUUUAAGUCAUUGCUUUCAUGACUGUUAGCAAAGACAAGAUGUGCGACUCUUGUAAGAGAGACACGAAGAAAAUGAUAGCGUUCUCGUACGUGCUCGUUUAUUAGCAUUUUAGGAUACGUUCUACUUCGUAAAAUGAAUCCAUACUAGCAAAUAAAUGAAAUGGAUUAAAAUUCUCGAAAAUAUGAUCAGAAAAAAUGUAUUAUUUUUGUUCGAAUGACGAUUCGGGAUUAAAAGUAUUCCAUAGCUUGGGAAACAUGUCUUUUGGUGAUUGUAACAAAGAGCAGAAGAAAUAUUAUCGAAAUAAUACUAGCACUAUCUGGUAGUCUCAGGUUAAUAAAUAGUUUUUAUAACACUUUGAGUGUGGAAACAUGUAUGCCAAUUGAUAGAUAGCUGAUGAAUGAAGUGUGUUUUAAGGGGAAAUCUCUUCAGACAUAUCAUCAUAAUCUUUAGGCUUUUCCACUAGUAGUGGUUCUUCUCCUUCUGCAAAUGCAUAUUCAGUGUUAUUAGUGAUGAUGGUUUUUGAAAGUGCAUCAUUUUCCAUUGCUACCCAGUCAUUUUGCUCAAAAGAUCCAAUUCUUAGAAUCGAAUCUGGAGGUAAGUUAAGCGCGCUUUUUAAAAGCUUUACUGCAUCGUAAACGGACAGGCCUGGUUGAACUUCUAGCAUAACAGUUAACUUUUCACGCUUAAACUUCACAAGCACCUUGAGGAACCUAGUUAAUUAAAUUUUUUAAAACUAAAAUACGUACCAUGGUAAAUAUCAACUAUUCAAGUAAGGAAAACAGAAAAACAAAUUAACUUGAAGUUGUGGAAAGGACGAUGCUCAUUCUCAACUUCGUUGAGCGCUUUGAGUUUUCGAAAGCUACGGAGCAAACGGACUAGGAUAUUGAGAAGCUAGUUCCAGAUAUUGUUAAAAAAUCUAUGAAAUAAUUUAAGUUAUUUUGUUUAAUAUUCAAGAUUUAUUGGUUAAAAUAUAGAAGCUGUUUUCGCUCAAGCAAAGUAUGUAUGUAAUUAUGUAGAUAAAACCUCCUUAUUAUAGUAUUUCUAGUGUUUUAAGAAUCCCAUAUCGGUACCGAA